rnacentral:rRNA from 1 species
UACAGAGGGUGCGAGCGUUAAUCGGAAUUACUGGGCGUAAAGGGCGCGUAGGCGGUUGUAUAAGUUAGAUGUGAAAUCCCCGAGCUUAACUUGGGAACGGCAUCUAAUACUGUAUGGCUAGAGUAGAAUAGAGGGGAGUGGAAUUUCCGGUGUAGCGGUGAAAUGCGUAGAUAUCGGAAAGAACACCAGUGGCGAAGGCGGCUCCCUGGAUUCAUACUGACGCUGAGGCGCGAAAGCGUGGGGAGCAAACGGG